rnacentral:rRNA from 1 species
UUCCAUGAAGUCGGAAUUGCUAGUAAUGGCAGGUCAGCAUACUGCCGUGAAUACGUUCCCGGGCCUUGUACACACCGCCCGUCACACCAUGAGAGUUGGAGAUACCCGAAGCCUAUGAGCUAACUUUUAGAGGCAGUAGUCGAAGGUAGAAUCAAUGAUUGGGGUGAAGUCGUAACAAGGUACC